rnacentral:misc_RNA from 1 species
GAUGAAGAACGUAGCGAAAUGCGAUACGUAAUGUGAAUUGCAGAAUUCAGUGAAUCAUCGAAUCUUUGAACGCAUAUUGCGCUCUCUGGUAUUCCGGAGAGCAUGCUUGUUUGAGUAUCAGUAAACACCUCAACUUCCAUAUCUUUUUUGAAAUGGGAGUUGGACUUGAGUGAUCCCAACGCUUUUCCUCACCGAAAAGUGGCGGGUUACUUGAAAUGCAGGUGCAGCUGGACUUUUCUCUGAGCUAUAAGCAUAUCUAUGUAGUCUGCCUAAAAACAGAUUAUUACCUUUGCUGCAGCUAACAUAAAGGAGAUUAGUUCUUGUGCUGACUGAUGCAGGAUUCACAAAGACAGGCUUCGGCCGACUUUGUAAACUCGAUCUCAAAUCAAGUAAGACUACCCGCUGAACUUAAGCAUAUCAAUAAGCGGAGGA